rnacentral:rRNA from 1 species
UACGUAGGGUGCAAGCGUUGUCCGGAAUUAUUGGGCGUAAAGGGCUCGUAGGCGGUCCGUCACGUCGGGAGUGAAAACUUGGGGCUUAACCCCAAGCCUGCUUCCGAAACUGGCAGGCUAGAGUACUAAAGAGGAUCGCGGAAUUCCCGGUGUAGAGGUGAAAUUCGUAGAUAUCGGGAGGAACACCGGUGGCGAAGGCGGCGAUCUGGGUAGAUACUGACGCUGAGGUGCGAAAGCGUGGGGAGCGAACAGG